rnacentral:rRNA from 1 species
AAAAACAUGUCUGUGUGAAUUAGUUAUAAAGUCUGGCCUGCCCACUGAUUGUUUAAGGGCCGCGGUAAUUUGACCGUGCGAAGGUAGCAUAGUCAGUAGUCUUUUAAUUGAAGGCUUGAAUGAAUGGUUGGACGAGGGAUAAGCUGUCUCCUUUGCAGUGUUUGAAUUUAACUUUUGAGUGAAAAGGCUCAAAUUGCUUAGUGGGACGAUAAGACCCUAUAAAACUUAAUAUGGGUUUGGCUUGAUUAGCGACUUGGGUGUAAGGCAAUUUUGUUUGGCUCAUAUUUUGUUGGGGAGAUGCGGAUAUAAUAUAUAACUGUCUGUUGAAUUUAAUAGUUAUGGUUAGUGUGUGAUCCUUCAUUUGUGGAUUUGGAGAAUAAGUUACUUUAGGGAUAACAGCGUGAUUUUCUUUGAGAGUUCUUAUCGACAAGAGUAGUUGCGACCUCGAUGUUGAAUUAAAGUUUCAGCUAGGUGUAGCCGUUUAGCUGGUGGGUCUGUUCGACCCUUAAAACUUUACAUGAUCUGAG